rnacentral:lncRNA from 1 species
CUCACAUUCUCUUUUUUAAAAUCUCUUCUUCUAUCUUGUUUUCUGGAAUGUACAUGCUGCCUUGAAUAAUGAAGACAAAGAGAGAGAGCUGGAAGUAUUUGGAAGCUCUAAACUACUUUUCCACUGCUGAACUAUAAUGUUUCUGACAUUUAUACAGGUGGAGUAAUUUGUAGAAGCAACUGAAUGGAGCAGAUGAUGGUACAGUUUGAGGGUAUGGAAAAUGGUCUGAGAAGACCAGGCUGGAAGAUGGAGGGAGCAGAAGGAGACAGAAUCCUGAAUGAGGUAUAUUCGGAGGAAUGAAGAAGGAUUCUUUCUAUUACCUUUAUCCAUUUCCUAGACAUCUAAGUGAGUAUUUUCAAUAUCUUAGGACUUAAGCUAUUCACCUAGCUUAACACAAUCAUUAUGUUAGCUUCUUUGAAAUAAUAUCUUUAGCUUACCUCAGAUGAAAAGAUUUCAACCUCAGAUGAAAAGAUUUCAAAGUAAAGAUACAUUAGACCAUAAAAAAUAUCAGAAAAUUCAAAGACAAUGAAAACCUACAUUCAGUAGCAACCAGGAUCUAACAGGACAUCUAGUGGUUGGAUAGCAGCUCUCGUAA